rnacentral:rRNA from 1 species
AACGAACGCUGGCGGCAUGCCUAACACAUGCAAGUCGAACGAGACCUUCGGGUCGAGUGGCGCACGGGUGCGUAACGCGUGGGAACCUGCCCUUAGGUUCGGAAUAACUCCCCGAAAGGGGUGCUAAUACCGGAUAAUGUCUUCGGACCAAAGAUUUAUCGCCUUUGGAUGGGCCCGCGUUGGAUUAGCUAGUUGGUAGGGUAAAAGCCUACCAAGGCGACGAUCCAUAGCUGGUCUGAGAGGAUGAUCAGCCACACUGGGACUGAGACACGGCCCAGACUCCUACGGGAGGCAGCAGUGGGGAAUAUUGGACAAGGGGCGAAAGCCUGAUCCAGCAAUGCCGCGUGAGUGAUGAAGGCCUUAGGGUUGUAAAGCUCUUUUACCCGGGAUGAUAAUGACAGUACCGGGAGAAUAAGCUCCGGCUAACUCCGUG